rnacentral:lncRNA from 1 species
CAGCUCCGGUGCUGUCGUUGGUGACAGAGAAAAUGCUGUGGUACGAGCCCGGGCCCCGGACGUGGGACGAGGCGCGGCAGUUCUGCAGGAGAGCCUACACCGAUGACUGUGAGCAAAGACAUUUCUUCUUUUGUGAGAGCGACGCCGAUCGAAACUAUUUUGUGGCUGAGACCAAACCCUGGGCGGAGGCGCUGCAGCACUGUCUGGACCAGGAUCGGAUGUUCAAGGACUUAACAUCGGACUCUUACUUUCCCAUGUACACCGGGGACGUUUCACUAAGGCACUUCCCGGUGUGGAUCGGCCUGCACCACAACGGAUCUGCCUGGAGAUGGAGCGAUGGGACGCCCUCCCAGCGCUGGACCUCGGUCGAUGGUGA